CCCUAGAAGAUUGGACAAGGACAAGAGGAGAAGAUCUUACAAAUCUCACAGAGCUAGCAAUUAUACAAGUUUCAAGUGACCUUGGGAUAUCUAAGUUUUUCAAGAGUCCUUCCUGUAUCAGAAAUGGAAUGUUUUAUCAACCAGAAAACCUUGGUUGGAAAAGAGAUUGCCCUGUAACAACAGAACUUCCUGAACUUCACCCAGGAAUGACAUGUGUCUUAUUAUCUUCAUGUACCGAAGUGGACUGUUGCAUAGAUGUUGAUAUGUUUCAUCAUUCAUUUAAUCUUGUCUUGAGACUGGAUCCAUGUGAUGAAAAAUUAAUUGUUGGGAUUGAAAAUUUUGUUUUUGCAAUAUCUCUUUAUGAAUUUGAUUGGGGAGUCCGCAAGAAACUAUAUUUGAAUAGUGUUAUAUGUAUGGAGUA